UACGUAGGGUGCAAGCGUUGUCCGGAAUUAUUGGGCGUAAAGAGCUCGUAGGCGGUUUGUCGCGUCGGCUGUGAAAACUCGGGGCUUAACCCCGAGCCUGCAGUGGAUACGGGCAGGCUAGAGUUCGGUAGGGGGAGACUGGAAUUCCUGGUGUAGCGGUGAAAUGCGCAGAUAUCAGGAGGAACACCGGUGGCGAAGGCGGCGACCUGGGUCGAGACUGACGCUGAGGCGCGAAAGCGUGGGGGAGCAAACAGG
rnacentral:rRNA from 1 species